GAUGAACGCUAGCGAUAGGCUUAACACAUGCAAGUCGAGGGGCAGCACAAGGUAGCUUGCUCUCUGGGUGGCGACCGGCGCACGGGUGCGUAACGCGUAUGCAACUUGCCCUAUACAGGAGGAUAACCCGUCGAAAGACGGACUAAUACUGCGUAUGCUCACAACUUGGCAUCAAGUGGUGAGGAAAGAAAUUCGGUAUAGGAUAGGCAUGCGUCCCAUUAGCUUGUUGGUGAGGUAACGGCUCACCAAGGCAACGAUGGGUAGGGGAACUGAGAGGUUUAUCCCCCACACUGGUACUGAGACACGGACCAGACUCCUACGGGAGGCAGCAGUGAGGAAUAUUGGUCAAUGGGCGCGAGCCUGAACCAGCCAAGUCGCGUGAAGGAUGACUGUCUUAUGGAUUGUAAACUUCUUUUAUACGGGAAUAACAAGAGUCACGGGUGACUCCCUGCAUGUACCGUAUGAAUAAGCAGCGGCUAACUCCGUG
rnacentral:rRNA from 1 species